AGCGAACGCUGGCGGCAGGCCUAACACAUGCAAGUCGAACGAUCCUUCGGGAUAGUGGCGGACGGGUGAGUAACACGUGGGAACGUGCCCUUUGGUUCGGAACGACUCAGGGAAACUUGAGCUAAUACCGAAUGUGCCCUUCGGGGGAAAGAUUUAUCGCCAUUGGAGCGGCCCGCGUCUGAUUAGCUAGUUGGUGAGGU
rnacentral:rRNA from 1 species